rnacentral:rRNA from 1 species
AGCCAGCAGCCGCGGUAAUACGUAGGGGGCGAGCGUUGUCCGAAGUUACUGGGCGUAAAGCGCGCGUAGGCGGCUUUUUAAGUGGCCGGUGAAAUCCCCGGGCUCAACCCGGGAGGGUCUGGUCAUACUGGAAAGCUAGAGUGUGGGAGAGGUGAGUGGAACUCCUGGUGUAGCGGUGAUAUGCGUAGAGAUCAGGAAGAACACCCGUGGCGAAGGCGACUCACUGGACCAUAACUGACGCUGAGGUGCGAAAGCCAGGGGAGCGAACGGGAUUAGAUACCCCGGUAGUCCUGGCCCUAAACGAUGGAUACUAGGUGUGGGAGGUAUCGACCCCUUCCGCGCCGCAGCUAACGCAUUAAGUAUCCCGCCUGGGGAGUACGGCCGCAAGGUUGAAACUCAAAGGAAUUGACGGGGGCCCGCACA